AACUAUAGCAGUUACUUUUAGAGAAAACACAAACAUCCAGGCGGGCUGCCACAGCCGGCACCUAGCAGCUGACUUAGAACUGGUGCGGACCAGGGGAAUUCGACUGUUUAAUUCAAGCAAAGCCUCGCAAGGGGCCGCGGCGGGUGUUGACGUGAUGUGAUUUCUGCCCAGUGCUCUGAAUGUCAAAGUGAAGAAAUUCAAUGAAGCGCAGGUAAAGUGCGGGAGUAACUAUGACUCUCUUAACCCUUGUGCUAUCCUAGGCACUCUAACAUUGGGAGUUGGGUCAUCUAGACCCACUAGACAGUGCUCUGAACCUUUUUUCUUCAAUGAUUUGUGAACUUCACUCGUGUCCAUGGAUUACCUGAAAUCUUUCCACCUUUAUCCACCUUUGACUUUGUAGGGAGAACACGUCAAUGCAAGGGUGGGGUCAUCUAAGAUAGCCCAAGGGUUAAGGUAGCUAAAUGCCUUGUCAUCUAAUUAGUGACGCACAUGUAUAGAUGAACGAGAUUCCCACUU
rnacentral:ncRNA from 1 species